rnacentral:rRNA from 1 species
UGAGGAAUAUUGGUCAAUGGUCGGGAGACUGAACCAGCCAAGCCGCGUGAGGGAGGAAGGUACAGAGUAUCGUAAACCUCUUUUGUCAGGGAACAAAGGCGGGGACGUGUCCCCGGAUGAGUGUACCUGAAGAAAAAGCAUCGGCUAACUCCGUGCCAGCAGCCGCGGUAAUACGGAGGAUGCGAGCGUUAUCCGGAUUUAUUGGGUUUAAAGGGUGCGCAGGCGGUCUGUUAAGUCAGCGGUCAAAGCCCGGGGCUCAACCCCGGCCCGCCGUUGAAACUGGCAGUCUCGAGUUGGAGAGAAGUAUGCGGAAUGCGCGGUGUAGCGGUGAAAUGCAUAGAUAUCGCGCAGAACUCCGAUUGCGAAGGCAGCAUGCCGGCUCCACACUGACGCUGAGGCACGAAAGCGUGGGUAUCGAACA